GGAUUAGAUACCCUGGUAGUCCACGCCCUAAACGAUGUAUGCUUGGUGUUCCCAUUAAUUUGGGAGUGCCGGAGGUAACCCGUUAAGCAUACCACCUGGGGAGUACGAUCGCAAGGUUGAAACUCAAAGGAAUUGACGGGGGCCCGCACAAGCGGUGGAUUAUGUGGUUUAAUUCGAUGCAACGCGAAGAACCUUACCUGGGCUUAAAGUGUUAGUUAAUCUCUCAGAGACGAGAGAGUGCUUCGGCCGCUAAUACAGGUGCUGCAUGGCUGUCGUCAGCUCGUGCUG
rnacentral:rRNA from 1 species